AAAGAUGGGAUGUCCGUGUGGACGAAAUUCCUCAUGUUAAAAACAAACUUCAUCAAGAAGGAUAGUUAACAGCUACUUCACAGUGUUUGUUCACAAGAGGCUUACAAAAUUUCAGACGAAAAUUAAUUCUAUGUGUAUCUUAUAUUUUCGGACGGAGGGAGUGUUCUUUUCUUUCCUGCUAAGCGUAGGAAAGAUUGCAUUCAAAUCAGCGAUAUCGAAAAAUGCGAAGUCAAGGCCGAAGGAAUCACUUUAUCUCUGAAGCAACAUUCCGCUGCGGUUUCGAAGAUAAUCCGAAUAAUUUUUUUUUUUUUUUUCUUUUUUUUCUUUUUAAUUCGGUACUUAUCAAAGAUGAUAGUGCGAAUUUUAGUGUGCCGAAGUUCUGUUUAAAUAGUCACCGGUGAAACAAUACUUUUGUUAGCUAUCUGUUUGUUAGUAGAACUCCAAUUAUCGGAAUCAAUUGGGACCGAAACCCCAUUCAGUGUCGUUAUUUCUGAUCCUUCGACCUGAUUCUUCCCAUAAGUGUUCAAUUGGAUUUAUGUUUGGUGACUGUGGGAGUGUUUCAAGUACUGACUCAUAGUAGCCGGCGGAAACAAGCUGAGUGGCUAGAAGCAUUCAACGCCACAAAAUCAAAUCGCAAAUGGCGCUACAUUUCUGUUUCCUUUGCUUUCCUCGUUGCUUUCGAUACGAAACUGUUGUCGCUUCUCCCAUCUUCACAGAAAAGUUUUGCUUCUAAAGAAGAGGUAUCCUAAUCGCCCUCAAAAUCAAGUGA